CCUCCACCGCCUCUUCCCAAUAAUAUUCUUAACUUACCGGUAUAAGUAAAAUACGUGGCAACUUCGUACUAUUUUCCGAGUCAAAAACCACGAAACUUACCCCCAAUAAAACUCCAUCGCCAACCGUCCAUUUAUUUCCACAAUAUUUUAGUCAACCCUCGCCCCGAAAUCUACGUCCAUGCUCAUCACACCAUAAAAAUAUCCACCCACUCUUCCAAUCUCAGCCGUUAGAUCAUUCCACGCCCUCAAUAAAUUACGUAAAGCCUCAGACGUUGUUAUCGCAUUUUACAGCCGUCUGGCCUCUUUGCCGUUUAUCCUUUCUCUGCAGAUAUGCAAUUUUGUUCAGAUCUAUGCGACCACCGUUGUUUUCCGUCGAUGCUUCCUCAAUUUCCUCAUAGAUCGAUCGACGAUCUAUUGAUUGAGCAUGAUUUUGUUGGUAGUUGAUGAACAUCGGAUGAUAUGCCGGAUCUGAUGACGGUUGGUGCUGCAUCGUCGGAGGUAAUCUGACUAGUCUCCAUCUCCGAUGAUUUUUGAUUCGUUUUUCUGUUUUGUGAGUUGUUUCGCCUGAGUUUCCGUGAUGUCGCGAAGGACAUGGCGGCUGCUGUCUUCUCUCGCCUCUAUUAGCCGUCUGAUACUCUGAUGGUUCGCUCUCACGGAUUUGGUGAGAUCCUGGUGAAAGCAACUAUGGUUGCUAGGCUGUUUGUUUGAUCGGAUAUGUGGAUGUUUCUAUUUUGGACUACCAGAGCUGAUCAAUGUGACCUAUUUGAUCAUUGAUGCUGCGGAUGGUAGAGAUUUGGAGAAUGAAGUGCUGGUUGAUCAAGGUUAAGAUGGUUUAUUGAUUGUUCCGUUGAUUUACGUUUCGUUCUUCAUUUAAGCUUGUGAAUGGUGAUAAUAAUGCAUUUGUAUAAUAUAGGUAGAGACGAGGCGAUACGGUAGGCAGGAUAAUGAGUUGAUAACUGUGUUACGUAAUUAUUGUUGUCUACCGACCUUUGCCAUGACGGGUGCGCUCGCAUGGCAGGUCAACAACCCUAAUAAAAUUUAUGUUUUUUGUUUUUGGAGAGGAGAUGGCACGGGAUUGCCUGGCUCUCCUUUCCGGUGUGUCGUGUCCCUCUUUUUUUUUCCUCUUCUCUGUCUCAUUGCCUCCUGCUCCCGUUCAAGUUCUCAACCCUCAGAGCAAACUAUUCUGUUGCUUGUCCAUGAAUAAAUACACAUAUCAUGGAUAAAAGUAACUUAAAGCACAAUUGAUACCCGUACGACACCAACAACAGCAAGAAAACUAUCAACUACCAGGCCUUUAAGGUAUUAUCAGUUCACCACUGCACGACUACUUCAAGGUACACAAUAUAAUUCCCUUUACGUUAUUUCGAUUAUUCAGAAUUCUGUCAUAAAUGUUGAUUUCAGAUAUUUUUAUUAAGCACGAAAUUCCUUAAUAUUAACACCCAAGGCAACUUACACAUAAAGAAAUGGAUUCUAUUUUCCCAUCAUUUCCCUCUAGUAAUGGUAAUGCGGUUGUCAGCUAUUACUUAUGUAUUUGUCCGAUUAUUUGUUAAGUUAAACUUAUCCACCCAUUUCAGCAGGUUUAUUUUAACAUUCAUGUAUUUUGAAUAGUCAGUAUAUUAGAUUCGUAUAUCCAAAAGCACAGUGGUAUUUGAGUGUUGGUUGUUUUGCUAUACGAGUUUCUCACAUCAUUUUCAACUUGGUGACAAUGGUGAUUAAAUUUAAGUGAUAAAAACUUCAUACUAUUGGAAUAUACAUUUCAUUUUCUUGAUAUUGUAAUUGUUUUGCUGUUAAUGUUCUUUGCAGAGUACAAUGUAACAUUAUAAAUAUUUAGAUAUUUAUAUUUAAUGGGGACUAAAUUUAAGUGAUAAAAACUUCAUACUACUUUUGGAAUAUACAUUUCAUUUUCUUGAUAUUGUAAUUGUUUUGCAGUUAAUGUUUUUUGCAGAGUACAAUGUAACAUUAUAAAUAUUUAGAUAUUUAGAUUUUCUGUAACUUGUAAGCCAAAGAGCUAUAUAUAGCAAUAGAUGUGAAAGUGAGUGUAAAAUUUUUUCUAUUGUUGGCAGAUGAGUAUUAAGUUAAUGAUGAUAUCUCUGGCAAUCCUUUUAGCUAUGCACUCUUCUUUUAGUUAUGAUGAUAUCUCUGGCAAUCCUUUUAGUUAUGCACUCUUCUUUCUCUGAAAGGAAGUAUUCUCUGCCUUCUCAUCACCUUCUUCAUCUGCACUUCUCUCAACCAUAAAAGGAAUCAUGUAAUGCUGGGAGUAUCAUGUUUUCUGAAGAUUGAGGUCUCUGAAGAAGUGCAUUGGUAAUUGUUUAAUGGAUCUGGUUUAUACUUCUGAACAUGUCAACUUAGCAAUGAUUGUGAAUUAAAUUUCUCCCUA